rnacentral:sRNA from 1 species
UUGUUUUGUCCAUAAUUAAUUUUUUUGAAAGAUUGUGUCUUACUUGGAUGUUUUUUUUCAUGAUGUGUGUGGCAGAGAGAACAUAUAAACAGAGAUUUUUAUUUGCAAAACUCUUCAGCCAUAUUACUUCUGCCAGGAAAGCUAGGAAAUAUGAAAUACCUCAUUUCAGACUUAAGAAGGUGGAGAAUAUUAAAAUAUGGUUAUCACUGCGUUCCUAUCUAAAGAGACGGGGGCCACAGCGUUCAGUUGAUGUGGUUGUAUCCUCGGUUUUCCUACUGACACUUUCGAUUGCUUUCAUUUGUUGUGCUCAGGUUCUCCAAGGACAUAAAACUUUCCUGAAUGAUGCUUAUAACUGGGAGUUUUUGAUCUGGGAAACAGCUUUACUACUUUUUUUAUUGCGUCUGGCCUCACUGGGGUCUGAAACCAAUAAGAAAUACAGCAAUGUUUCAAUAUUACUUACAGAACAGAAUCAUAAUGGAGAAUUCUUCCUACAAGGCAAAAUAUAAGGAAUUAGUAAAGUAAAAGGAGCUAUCUUCUUCCGUUCCAUAAAUGUUUAAUGAGGAUGUUAGAUUAUCUAGGGGGAUAGUGAGAUGAAUAAGAUAGAGGUUUUGAACUCAAGGUGCUUACGUGCUAAUUAUGUUAUGUUGCAAGUAAUAUUAAAAUUUUUCAUUGUUUUGAUAUUUAAAUUGCUUCAUCAUUAAUUUUUCAUCACUAAAUAGUUUUUCUUUGCCAGAGGGAGACUGAUCAGGAAUGGGGGCUAGAGCACAUGACAUAUGUUCUCUGUAGCAAUAGCUAUUGGAAUUUCAAAAUUUAUUUUACUUGAAAACAUGACCUUU